rnacentral:tRNA from 1 species
AAUAUGUUAGUUUAAAAAAAACAUUAAAUUGUAAAUUUAAAAUUAAAUUUAUUACAUGUUA